GAUGAACGCUGACAGAAUGCUUAACACAUCAGCAAUUGAUUUGUGGCGGACGGGUGAGUAACGCGUAAAGAACUUGCCUUACAGGUAGGGACAACAUUUGGAAACGAAUGCUAAUACCUAAUACUGUGAGAGAGCUUUGCGUUCCAUUAGCUAGUUGGCGAGGUAACGGCUCACCAAGGCGAGGAUUGGUAGCCGGCCUGAGACGUAGAUGUGCCACAAGGGGACUUAUAACCGACCCUUACGCCUACGUGAGUCAGCAGUGAGGAAUAGUAGACAAUAGACCAAAGUCUGAUCCAGCAAUUCUGUGUGCACGAUGAAGUUUUCGGAAUGUAAAGUGCUUUCAGUUGGGAAGCGGUACCAACAGAAUAAGUGACGGCUAAAUACGUGCCAGCAGCCGCGGUAAUAC
rnacentral:rRNA from 1 species